GAUGAACGCUGACAGAAUGCUUAACACAUGCAAGUCUACUUGAACUUCGGUUUGGGUGGCGGACGGGUGAGUAACGCGUAAAGAACUUGCCUCACAGAUAGGGACAACAUUUGGAAACGAAUGCUAAUACCUGAUAUUAUGAUUUUAGGGCAUCCUAGAAUUAUGAAAGCUAUAUGCACUGUGAGAGAGCUUUGCGUCCCAUUAGCUAGUUGGAGAGGUAACGGCUCACCAAGGCGAUGAUGGGUAGCCGGCCUGAGAGGGUGAUCGGCCACAAGGGGACUGAGACACGGCCCUUACUCCUACGGGAGGCAGCAGUGGGGAAUAUUGGACAAUGGACCAAGAGUCUGAUCCAGCAAUUCUGUGUGCACGAUGAAGUUUUUCGGAAUGUAAAGUGCUUUCAGUUGGGAAGAAAAAAAUGACGGUACCAACAGAAGAAGUGACGGCUAAAUACGUGCCAGCAGCCGCGGUAAUACGUAUGUCACAAGCGUUAUCCGGAUUUAUUGGGCGUAAAGCGCGUCUAGGUGGUUAUGUAAGUCUGAUGUGAAAAUGCAGGGCUCAACUCUGUAUUGCGUUGGAAACUGUGUAACUAGAGUACUGGAGAGGUAAGCGGAACUACAAGUGUAGAGGUGAAAUUCGUAGAUAUGUGUAGGAAUGCCGAUGGGGAAGCCAGCUUACUGGACAGAUACUGACGCUGAAGCGCGAAAGCGUGGGUAGCAAACAGG
rnacentral:rRNA from 1 species